rnacentral:rRNA from 1 species
AUACGUAGGUGGCAAGCGUUGUCCGGAAUUACUGGGUGUAAAGGGCGUGUAGGCGGGGAGGCCAGUCAGAUGUGACAUUCCGGGGCUCAACCCCGGCCCUGCAUCUGAAACCGUUUCUCUUGAGUGCCGGAGAGGAAAGCGGAAUUCCUAGUGAAGCGGUGAAAUGCGUAGAUAUUAGGAGGAACACCAGUGGCGAAGGCGGCUUUCUGGACAGUAACUGACGCUGAGGCGCGAAAGCGUGGGUAGCGAACAGGAUUAGAUACCCUGGUAGUCCACGCCGUAAACGAUGGAUACUAGGUGUAGGAGGUAUCGACCCCUUCUGUGCCGGAGUUAACACAAUAAGUAUCCCACCUGGGGAGUACGGCCGCAAGGUUGAAACUCAAAUGAAUUGACGGGG